UACGUAGGGUCCGAGCGUUGUCCGGAAUCAUUGGGCGUAAAGAGCUCGUAGGUGGUGUGUCGCGUCUGCUGUGUAAGUCCGGGGCUCAACUCCGGGUUUGCAGUGGAUACGGGCAUGCUAGAGGUAGGUAGGGGAGACUGGAAUUCCUGGUGUAGCGGUGAAAUGCGCAGAUAUCAGGAGGAACACCGGUGGCGAAGGCGGGUCUCUGGGCCUUACCUGACGCUGAGGAGCGAGAGCGUGGGGAGCGAACAGGAUUAGAUACCCCU
rnacentral:rRNA from 1 species